AAAAAUCCAUCUAAGAUUGACACACAGCCAAUCUGGCUUUUGCCACCUUGAAUGCAUCUCUAUUAUUGAUCUUCUCUUCUUUUUUUAACUCCCUUAUUGUCUACAAUAACACAAUUUAUUAAAAUGUUGGUUUUACCUUGACUUUUAACAUUACUUCUUUAUUGAUAAUUGUCUAAAUUCUUUGUUGGUAGACUUUAAAAUUUUCAUAAGUAUAACCUCCGCACAAAACUAAAUGAUACAUAUUUUGUAUCACAAACAUCCUGUAAAAAAGGUGCGCUAUCUAAAUAAGUAUACGACAAAGUUGAAUUUCCCAAUGUAAUCAAACUAAUUAAUUAAAGCACCUCACCCUUUUAUCGUUUUCUUCAAUUCCUCCAAGCCUGCAAUACAAUACAACAACGUCAUUUUUAUUCUUAGGUGAAAUGUCAAUAACACAUGGCAAUGCUUCGCUUCAUAUGCCAAACCAUCGACCAUACACGUACAUACAAUAAAUAAUCAAAGCUACCAACAAUUUUUG
rnacentral:lncRNA from 1 species